GCAUCAAAGCGAUUAUAAAUACAUAGUUCUCUAGUCUAUUUCAUCCAAAAAAAAAAAAAGCAGAGCUAAGCUUGAACAAAUAGCAUAGCGUUGCUACAAUCUCUCCCCCAAAGAGAUGGCCAAGUUCUCCUACUUUGUUUUGGUCUUCCUCCUCAUCGUCUCGGUUGAGAUGGUGGUGCCCAAGGUGACUGCAGACAAUUGUGUUUGGAUUGUUUCGGACGGUGGCUGCACGCCUAGCGUUUGCGCAUCCGAAUGCAACAGCCAGGGGUUCGGUGGGGGAAUUCCAGAGUGUUUUCUAAAUGCAGAUAACAACCAGUGGCGAUGUGGUUGCGUCUUUCCAUGCUGAUGGAGCAAUCCUGAAUGAGCUUCGAUCAAUAAAGCAAUACCAUACUGCUUCUUCGAUAUAAUAAUUUUGUUAAUGAAAGCAUAUUUUUUU